UAGGGAAUCUUCGGCAAUGGGGGCAACCCUGACCGAGCAACGCCGCGUGAGUGAAGAAGGUUUUCGGAUCGUAAAGCUCUGUUGUAAGAGAAGAACGUGUGUGAGAGUGGAAAGUUCACACAGUGACGGUAACUGACCAGAAAGGGACGGCUAACUACGUGCCAGCAGCCGCGGUAAUACGUAGGUCCCGAGCGUUGUCCGGAUUUAUUGGGCGUAAAGCGAGCGCAGGCGGUUUAAUAAGUCUGAAGUUAAAGGCAGUGGCUUAACCAUUGUUCGCUUUGGAAACUGUUAAACUUGAGUGCAGAAGGGGAGAGUGGAAUUCCAUGUGUAGCGGUGAAAUGCGUAGAUAUAUGGAGGAACCCCGGUGGCGAAAGCGGCUCUCUGGUCUGUAACUGACGCUGAGGCUCGAAAGCGUGGGGAGCAAACAGG
rnacentral:rRNA from 1 species